rnacentral:rRNA from 1 species
AUUGAACGCUGGCGGUAUGCUUAACACAUGCAAGUCGAACGAUGAGAAAGAGCUUGCUCUUUCGAUUAGUGGCGGACGGGUGCGUAACGCGUAGGAAUCUACCUAUUAGUGGGGGACAACUUAGGGAAACUUAAGCUAAUACCGCAUACGCCCUACGGGGGAAAGAAGGGGAUCGCAAGACCUUUUGCUAAUAGAUGAGCCUGCGUAGGACUAGCUAGUUGGUGGGGUAAAAGCUCACCAAGGCGACGAUCCUUAACUGGUUUGAGAGAAUGAUCAGUCACACUGGAACUGAGACACGGUCCAGACUGCUACGGGAGGCAGCAGUGGGGAAUAUUGGACAAUGGGCGAAAGCCUGAUCCAGCAAUACCGCGUGUGUGAAGAAGGCCUUAGGGUUGUAAAGCACUUUCAAUUGGAAGGAAAACCUCGAAGCUAAUACCUUCGAGUUUGACAUUACCUUUAGAAGAAGCACCGGCUAACUCCGUGCCAGCAGCCGCCGUAA